GGACAGGCAUGGGGAUAGCUCGAAAGGGCAGAGUCCCUUCGUUAAAGGAAAGACUAUUCGUAUAACAUAAGACAUUGCAUUUCUCCGCGACAAACCGGGGUAAGAGAGAAAUGACAGAUUCCUGUUUGUUAAGGGAUAAAGGGCCCCGGUUAUAGGGUUGUCCCUGACCCCCCCGUCAGAUUCCAAUUCCCCCUCGUCAAGACUCCAAUUUCUCAUCAAAUCGGAACUGGCUGAAUCUCACCGGAGAAAUCAUCAGAGCGAGGGACACAGCGACCCUCAAUAUCAGUAUUUGUAGCCCAUAUAUCUGAUGGUGUCUGGACCAAAAGAGUAUAAGUAGCAUUUGAUUGAUUGAUGCUAGCAAGCAUUUGGCCUCCCUUGAUAAAAAAAUUAUAAAAUAAUUAGCCAAUCAGCGUUGAGCUGAGCUCAACUGUGGUUUGUCCGGGAGCAGCAAAAGGCCCCCAAAGGGAGGCCAGUUUGGAUUUGGCUUCACACCAUGCCAGGAAGUUAGGCUAGCAAGUGUUUUAGCUAGGUAGCCUAUCACAACAAAAACUAAAAGUGUACUGUAUGACAGAGCCAUAGACAGUUUUGCCAACAUGAAAGAGAGGAGGAUGGUGAUGGCUUUCAACUAGUCUACAAGUAGAGUGAGUCAACCUUUUUUGUUAUACUUGCACACGCGCACACACACACACACACAGAGAAAUCAGGACCACGGGCAGCCACAUGAUAUUUAGCAACAUUGAUUGGACUAAAUUGUUUUUGGUAUCUUUAAGUUUGUUUUCAGUGUAUUAAACUACGCAUAUACUGUAUAGCCUUGUUGAUUUGAUGAUGUUUAAAUGCUUAAGUUGAAAUUGUGCUGGAAUAGCGGAGGCAGUGCUCCUGUUGUUUUUGUGUUGACUUGUGGUCACCCCGGGAUUCUAAAUCAGCAGUUGUUUAGUAAUCUGUCGAAAACAUGAACUUGCUUGACCAUGCUGCAGGUGAUAUAUUUGUUACAUGCAAUAUUUUCUUUGUGGACUUCACCGGACAGAUGUUGCUCUCCGGUUUUGUGAUGAAAC